GUCAAUUAAACCACAGCGUAAGUCAAAUCAUUUUGUCAAUCUUUCAUAUAAUAAAGAUAUUAUGCUUUAAUUGGUGUUGAAUGAAUAAAGGAAAAACACAUAAAUUACGCAUAGAGGUCACUUGAGACGUGUCAUAAUGAACGAACUGUGAAGUGCGCGCUCAAUGUCAUGUAUAUAUACUGGUUGCCCAGGCGCCAGGUUGGUUACUACCGCAAUUCUUUUUUAUCCACAGUAAGAACUGAGAUUGAUAAAUCAAAACCAAAUAUCAGAUCAAGAUUCAUUGAGGCGCGCUUAUUACAAAUAUACACUAUUAUAUUUAACAUUAGUUCAACAUGAAUGAAUUCUAAUUUGUCAUAAUUUUAGUCUCAAAAUCAUGUCCUCACUCUGUAGGGAAAUUUGUGAAUCGGCAAGGAUAGUAACGUACAAACCCAUGUACAAAACCAUGCAUGCGCCUUGAGCUUGAUCGACUUCCGGUUUGUAUCUUUGUUUCGUGGAAUGAGAUUGUGAUUUAUGAGGACACCGUCCUGCCACGAUGGUGGUAGUACCCGCUUACUAUAAUGUGUAGCCUUUGUACAUAGUUCUUAUAUCAUUGUUCUUAACUUCUUACAGGAACCUGCAAGUAUAAACCUAUGGAUAAUCCCACCAGGUGCCACUCACAUUAGAAAUUCAUUCUUAUGGACUACAUGUCAAUCUUUCUCAUCUGAUCUAAGUCGACCAUAUCUACUUUUCCUCUAUCUGUAAAGGAGUGAAUAACGUAAUUGAAAUACUUUCUAUGCUUGUUUAAUGUUGUGAGUUGGGUAGCAGCUUUAUAACCGAAAUAAGUAAGAACACAUGCACAUAUUUUAUUCUCAUUCAAAUAUUUCGGAACUCCACCAGAUCGGGGAAGAGAGUCUGGGAACGAGGUUGUAUUGUUCAUUCGUUUCUGGUGAAUAGUACGUUUCUUCGGUUUAAUAUGUCACGAGUUUAGUUUGGAAAUUACUUGUCGUAUAAUAACGUUAUUAUAUGUUUACUAUGGCUACCUAUUUACUAAUUUAGCA